GGAGAAGACUCUUGAGAGUCCCUUGGACUGCAAGGAGAUCCAACCAGUCCAUCAUAAAGGAGAUCAGUCCUGAGUGUUCAUUGGAAGAACUGAUGUUGAAGCUGAAACUCCAAUACUUUGGCCACCUGAUGCGAAGAGCUGACUCAUUGGAAAAGACCCUGAUGCUGGGAAAGAUUGAAGGCAGGAGGAGAAGGGGACAACAGAGGAUGAGAUGGUUGGAUGGCAUCGCCAACUCAAUGGACCUCCACCUCAGAUCAUCAGGCAUUAGAUCCUGAAGGUUGGGGACCCCUCAUGUCGAGGGACUUGAUCCAACAUGGCUGGCUUUGAAGACGGAGGAAGAGACCCAUCAGCCAAGGAAUGCAGGCAGCCUCUAAUCACUGGCAACAGCCCUCCACUGACAGCCAGUGAGAAAAUGGAACCCUCAGUCCUACUAGCAUCAGGAACUGAAUUCUGCCUCUGGCUUCAAUGAGCUCCAAGCAGAUUUAUCCUGAAAGCUUCUGGAAAGGAACUGAGCCCUGCUAGCGCCUUGAUUUUUUAGCCUGCUGAGACCUGUGGUAGACUCCUGACCUACGAAACUUGACUGUACCAACUUACAUUCACACCAACAGUGUAGGAGCUUUCCCUUUUCUUGAUGGUUCCAGUCUAAUCACAUGAAUCCUUAAAAACAAAGAAGCUUCUUGGACUUGAGGCAGAAAAGAUGCUGCACCAUCACCAGAAUGAAGAUGGAGAAAACAGCAUGGUAAGGGAAGCAAAUGGCCUUAAGAAGCUGAGAGAGG
ensembl:lncRNA